rnacentral:rRNA from 1 species
CGGACGGGUGAGUAAUGUCUGGGAAACUGCCCGAUGGAGGGGGAUAACUACUGGAAACGGUAGCUAAUACCGCAUAACGUCGCAAGACCAAAGAGGGGGACCUUAGGGCCUCUUGCCAUCGGAUGUGCCCAGAUGGGAUUAGCUAGUAGGUGGGGUAAUGGCUCACCUAGGCGACGAUCCCUAGCUGGUCUGAGAGGAUGAUCAGCCACACUGGAACUGAGACACGGCCCAG